AUUGAACGCUGGCGGCAUGCUUUACACAUGCAAGUCGAACGGUAACAGGCCGCAAGGUGCUGACGAGUGGCGAACGGGUGAGUAAUGCAUCGGAACGUGCCCAGUCGUGGGGGAUAACUACUCGAAAGAGUAGCUAAUACCGCAUACGAUCUAUGGAUGAAAGCGGGGGACCGUAAGGCCUCGCGCGAUUGGAGCGGCCGAUGUCAGAUUAGGUAGUUGGUGGGGUAAAGGCUCACCAAGCCAACGAACUGUAGCUGGUCUGAGAGGACGACCAGCCACACUGGGACUGGGACACGGCCCAGACUCCUACGGGAGGCAGCAGUGGGGAAUUUUGGACAAUGGGCGCAAGCCUGAUCCAGCAAUGCCGCGUGCAGGAAGAAGGCCUUCGGGUUGUAAACUGCUUUUGUACGGAACGAAACGGCUCUGGUUAAUACCCGGGGCUAAUGACGGUACCGUAAGAAUAAGCACCGGCUAACUACGUG
rnacentral:rRNA from 1 species